rnacentral:pre_miRNA from 1 species
UUUCCAUACAUAUGCUUUUUUUGCCCGAUAUAGAAUUGUCAGUAUUCUGACAAUUCUAUAUCGGGCAAAAAAAGCAUAUUUAUGCAUUUUUU